UACGAGGGGGGCAAAUGUUGUUCGGAAUCACUGGGCGUAAAGGGAGCGUAGGCGGGUUCUUAAGUUAGGUGUUUAAUCCCGGGGCCCAACCCCGGACCGGCACUUAAAACUGGGAAUCUUGAAUAGUGGAGAGGUCAGUGGAAUUGGGGGUGUAGCGGUGGAAUGCGUAGAGAUCGGGAAGAACAUCGGUGGCGAAGGCGGCCUGCUGGGCUGUUGCUGACACUGAGGCGCGACAGCGUGGGGGAGCAAACAGG
rnacentral:rRNA from 1 species